AAUCUAAUAGUUUAUACUAGAACUUUAUAUUGAAGAUAUAAAUGAAACAUUUUGUUUUAGAUUA
rnacentral:tRNA from 1 species